rnacentral:rRNA from 1 species
UGAGGAAUAUUGGUCAAUGGGCGAGAGCCUGAACCAGCCAAGUAGCGUGAAGGAUGACUGCCCUAUGGGUUGUAAACUUCUUUUAUAAAGGAAUAAAGUCGGGUAUGUAUACCCGUUUGCAUGUACUUUAUGAAUAAGGAUCGGCUAACUCCGUGCCAGCAGCCGCGGUAAUACGGAGGAUCCGAGCGUUAUCCGGAUUUAUUGGGUUUAAAGGGAGCGUAGAUGGAUGUUUAAGUCAGUUGUGAAAGUUUGCGGCUCAACCGUAAAAUUGCAGUUGAUACUGGAUAUCUUGAGUCAGUUGAGGCAGGCGGAAUUCGUGGUGUAGCGGUGAAAUGCUUAGAUAUCACGCAGAACUCCGAUUGCGAAGGCAGCGUACCGGCGCCCAACUGACGCUGAAGCACGAAGGCGUGGGUAUCGAACAGGAUUAGAUACCC